UGAUGGUUGCCAAACUUGGACUUAGUAUGUUGAGUUCACCCCAUCCGUAGUAGCCAUAGCCCUGCGUGGGCUCAUGAUGAGUUGACACUCUCCAGUCCUCUACAUUACCACGCUGAAGAGAUAAGAACAGCAAAGACCUACACUGAGCACAUGGAGGCGAAGACGUGGUUACUAUAGUGACCGUUCAGAGACGGCGAGUGUCUGACCUCAGAGCUCACACUGCCUUCAUGCGGCUUGUUCUUGUGUCAUGAUGUCUCGACUCUCUGUACUACUACAUAAAGGGGUAAAAUGUUGGGUGUCAACACUGGGGGCCCAGAGCUACACGUCCUGCCGGGAAGUUGUGAAAUCUCUUGGUGACAUUUGUGAUGUGGGAUCUUUUGCACAGGUCUGCUAUGAAAUUAUGUUACGGCAACAUUAUCGGU
rnacentral:lncRNA from 1 species